AUAUUGGAGGCGGGUAUAAAACCCUUGUGAAACCCUAACCCUAAGGAUAGAGAGAGGCAGCCGUCACCCCCCAUCUUCCUUGCUCCAGCCGUCAUCGUCGGCCUUCCCUUGUUUCUCCGAUCACGAGCCACCUGGUGUGCUGAGCACCGCCAUAACCCGCUGUCGGUGAGGUCACGAACAGCCAAGGUAGGACCGCCGAUGGCCGAGUAUGGAGAGUUGUUGUCGUUGGUUCCGUUCCGACCACCGUCGCUGCUGGGAUCGUUCCACACAGCCGCUGAGCCGCCUCUCCGUGUUUCUUUCUUCUUCUUCUUCUAUUACUCAGUCAGCCAAUGAACACCGCCGACCGCCAGACUGUCGAAGAAGGUCGCCAUUGCGAUGUUGCUGCCGGAGAACCGUCGUUUCUGGGUUCCGACCAUCGUUUGCCACCCAUGGUGGCUGAGUUGGGAAAGUUUUAGUCUCCGGAUCGUGGUUGCGUGUGAUUGUUGUUCGUUUGCUCGGAUUUGGAACAAGAAAGACCACCGCCACCACCAUUGGGUGGUGGCUAGCAUCACAACCGCCGCUGCUGUUGCUUUUUGCGUUGUUGCCGCCACUGUGAGCCACCAAGGGAGGGUGGCUGGACCUUUGUGCAACAGAAAUCGUGUGUGUGUGUGUGUGUUUAAUUGCAGUUUAGUGGUGUUUGGGUGUUUGGUCUAGCUGGAAAUAGCAACGAAGCCACUACCACCACCGUAAGGUGGUGGCUGCCGCCCAGCGCCACCGCCGGCCACCAUGGUGUGGCAGUGUGUGUGUGUUACUUAGUGUGUUAGUGUUUAUGGUUAUGUUUUGAUCAAACAUUGUAAUUGUAAUUAUUUUGGUUAAUAAUAAAAUAGUAGUAACCACCACCGUAAGGUGGUGGCCGCCGCCGUGAGCCGCCAUCGACCACCACUACCCAAGGUGGUAGUGGGUGGUGCCCCGCUAGCAAACCCUAAUGGGCUUAGAGAUUGGUUUUGGGCCUAUUGGGCCAUGUUUGAGUGAAAACCCUAAUUAGGGUUUAGAAAACCCUAAUUGUGAGUAUUGGGCCUUAGACUUAUUGGACCCACUUUUGGGCCAUUGAGAUGGGAUUAUGUAUUAAGCCCAAUCACUCCAUCUCAUUUAUCUAGUAGAGUAAAGAACUUAAUGGGCUAAGUCCUUAAUGAGCUAAUUGAGAAAAUACUAAUAUUGGAGAGGUUAUCAGCACACGCACAAGAAUUAUUUAAUAAGUGAAUAUUAAAUAAUAAUCAUUGGCAGAAAUUAAUCUAAGCAAUAAUGGACUUAAUGGAUUAAGUCCCUAGUGUGUUAAGUCCUUAAUGGGUUAAGUAAGAAACACUUAGCCCUAGUUAUCGGUCGAGGUGAAACCCUAAUUUCACUUGGGCUUUGUGUUGGGCCAUUCGAGAAUAAUCAAUUGGGCCAUAGAUGGGCCAUAGUUGGGGCCUAGAUGGUUGUAUGAUAUUGGGCCCUAAAAUGAUACAUGUUGGACUGGACUGAUCAAUUGGGCCUUAAGGGAAGUCCAUGUAGAGGUUUGGGCCCAAUUUGGAAAAUUGGGCCAUAUGUUGAGCUUUGAUCCCUAGUUGACUUUGGGCCUAUGGAAUUGGGCCUUGGGCUUGGGUAAGCCAAGUUAGGGGUAAUGUAGCGAUUAUCCAAAGUAUGUAUUUAUAGUAUGUGUUAGAACCCAAUUAUUAAUUGGGUGUUAUUUGGUGUUGACAGUUCGAGAAUCUGUCAGCUAGCAGCUGGGGUGGAGUCUGCGGAACUUCAGCAGUGUGGGAUUGUGUCUACGGGACUUCAACAGUGUGAGUUUUGGUUUCAAGUACUCAGUUUUUAAAAGAGGAGCUCGGGAAGAUUGCAGUGCACACACCAUUUGUUCAGCCUGGGAUGUUUAUACUCUGAUAUAUUUGACAGUUGUUAACAUAUUUUGAGAUAAAUUCUUUAUGACUCUUAUAUGACAUUUGAUGAAUAUGGUUUUAUUACUAAUUUUAAAAGAAA